GGGGGGGGGGGGGGGGGGGGGGGGGGGGGGGGGGGCGAGGGGGAGGGGCCGGGGGGGGGGGGGGGCGCGGGGGGGGGAGGGGUGAGGAGGCCGGGAGUAAGCGGCGCGGGACGGGGGGGUAUCGUGAGGAAACGGGGGCUCAUACCGCACAGGAGCGACCGCGGCGCGGUGGGGGUUGGAACGGUUCGGCGGUUGGGGAUGGACUCGCGGCUUAUCAGCUUGUUGGUGGGGUAGUGGCUUACCAAGGCUUUGACGGGUAGCCGGCCUGAGAGGGUGACCGGCCACAUUGGGACUGAGAUACGGCCCAGACUCCUACGGGAGGCAGCAGUGGGGAAUAUUGCACAAUGGGCGGAAGCCUGAUGCAGCAACGCCGCGUGCGGGAUGACGGCCUUCGGGUUGUAAACCGCUUUCGCCUGUGACGAAGCGUGAGUGACGGUAAUGGGUAAAGAAGCACCGGCUAACUACGUG
rnacentral:rRNA from 1 species